rnacentral:rRNA from 1 species
GACGAACGCUGGCGGCGUGCCUAAUACAUGCAAGUCGAGCGGACCUCUUCGGAGGUCAGCGGCGGACGGGUGAGUAACACGUGGGCAACCUGCCUGUAAGACUGGGAUAACACCGGGAAACCGGUGCUAAUACCGGAUAAUCCUUUUCCUCACAUGAGGGGAAGCUGAAAGACGGUUUCGGCUGUCACUUACAGAUGGGCCCGCGGCGCAUUAGCUAGUUGGUGGGGUAACGGCCCACCAAGGCGACGAUGCGUAGCCGACCUGAGAGGGUGAUCGACCACACUGGGACUGAGACACGGCCCAGACUCGUACGGGAGGCAGCAGUAGGGAAUCUUGCGGGAUGGACGCAAGUCUGACGGAGCAACGCCGCGUGUGCGAUGAAGGCCUUCGGGUCGUAAACCCCUGUCAGGAGGAAAGAAGGGUGGUGGGGUGAACAGCCUCAUCACUGGACGGUACCUUCAGAGGAAGCCCCGGCCAACUCUGUGCCAGCCGCCGCAGUAACAC